rnacentral:lncRNA from 1 species
UCGGUCACGUAAGAUUCUUUUCUUUUCCUUUGGAUUCUCCUAGUGCUUCCUCUUGUUUUUGGGGUUCUUCUCGGAACCUAGACUCUAGGGCUGCUUCCUCUUGUUUUUGGGGUUUCUUCUCGGAACCUAGACUCUAGGGCUGCUUCCUCUUGUUCUUGGGACUUAUUUGGGUUUCUUCUCGGAACCUAGACUCUAGGGCUUCCUUCGUCGUCUUCUCUCGAGCCUCUCGUCUCUCCCCCGUUGCUACGGUUUCUGUUGAUCGAACUUUCUUUUGAUCCAAGGUUUAGAUUUCUUGGGGUAUUUUCUUAAAUCUUUCAGGGUUUUGAACCAGCGUAAUAAUACAAGAGGAAGCAAGAAACAGCACCAAAAAGGUUCGUGCUUUUUACAGAUUUUAAUAUGUCCUUCGCUGUUUUGUCGAAUCGAAGCUAUUAACUAAUGCGAUUCCCUCAUCCGCAGUUUCUUUCUCUAGGAAAGAUUAUACAUACUUAAGUUGUCUUCUUCUCUUGUGCUUGUUUGUUAUUCCGAACCUUUCUCCAC